rnacentral:rRNA from 1 species
AGUGAACGCUGGCGGUAGGCCUAACACAUGCAAGUCGAACGGCAGCACAGUAAGAGCUUGCUCUUACGGGUGGCGAGUGGCGGACGGGUGAGGAAUACAUCGGAAUCUACUUUUUCGUGGGGGAUAACGUAGGGAAACUUACGCUAAUACCGCAUACGACCUACGGGUGAAAGCAGGGGAUCUUCGGACCUUGCGCGAUUGAAUGAGCCGAUGUCGGAUUAGCUAGUUGGCGGGGUAAAGGCCCACCAAGGCGACGAUCCGUAGCUGGUCUGAGAGGAUGAUCAGCCACACUGGAACUGAGACACGGUCCAGACUCCUACGGGAGGCAGCAGUGGGGAAUAUUGGACAAUGGGCGCAAGCCUGAUCCAGCGAUACCGCGUGGGUGAAGAAGGCCUUCGGGUUGUAAAGCCCUUUUGUUGGGAAAGAAAAGCAGCAGGUUAAGACCCCGCUGUUCUGACGGUACCCAAAGAAUAAGCACCGGCUAACUUCGUG